rnacentral:rRNA from 1 species
GAUGAACGCUGGCGGCGUGCCUAAUACAUGCAAGUCGAGCGAACGGACGAGAAGCUUGCUUCUCUGAUGUUAGCGGCGGACGGGUGAGUAACACGUGGAUAACCUUCCUAUAAGACUGGGAUAACUUCGGGAAACCGGAGCUAAUACCGGAUAAUAUUUUGAACCGCAUGGUUCAAAAGUGAAAGACGGUCUUGCUGUCACUUAUAGAUGGAUCCGCGCUGCAUUAGCUAGUUGGUAAGGUAACGGCUUACCAAGGCAACGAUGCAUAGCCGACCUGAGAGGGUGAUCGGCCACACUGGAACUGAGACACGGUCCAGACUCCUACGGGAGGCAGCAGUAGGGAAUCGUCCGCAAUGGGCGAAAGCCUGACGGAGCAACGCCGCGUGAGUGAUGAAGGUCUUCGGAUCGUAAAACUCUGUUAUUAGGGAAGAACAUAUGUGUAAGUAACUGUGCACAUCUUGACGGUACCUAAUCAGAAAGCCACGGCUAACUACGUG